rnacentral:rRNA from 1 species
GGGUGAGUAACACGUGAGCAAUCUGCCCUUGACUCUGGGAUAAGCGCUGGAAACGGCGUCUAAUACUGGAUACGAGCUGCGAAGGCAUCUUCAGCAGCUGGAAAGAACUUCGGUCAAGGAUGAGCUCGCGGCCUAUCAGCUUGUUGGUGAGGUAAUGGCUCACCAAGGCGUCGACGGGUAGCCGGCCUGAGAGGGUGACCGGCCACACUGGGACUGAGACACGGCCCAGACUCCUACGGGAGGCAGCAGUGGGGAAUAUUGCACAAUGGGCGCAAGCCUGAUGCAGCAACGCCGCGUGAGGGACGACGGCCUUCGGGUUGUAAACCUCUUUUAGCAGGGAAGAAGCGAAAGUGACGGUACCUGCAGAAAAAGCACCGGCUAACUACGUGCCAGCAGCCGCGGUAAUACGUAGGGUGCAAGCGUUAUCCGGAAUUAUUGGGCGUAAAGAGCUCGUAGGCGGUUUGUCGCGUCUGCUGUGAAAUCUGGGGGCUCAACCCCCAGCCUGCAGUGGGUACGGGCAGACUAGAGUGCGGUAGGGGAGAUUGGAAUUCCUGGUGUAGCGGUGGAAUGCGCAGAUAUCAGGAGGAACACCGAUGGCGAAGGCAGAUCUCUGGGCCGUAACUGACGCUGAGGAGCGAAAGGGUGGGGAGCAAACAGGCUUAGAUACCCUGGUAGUCCACCCCGUAAACGUUGGGAACUAGUUGUGGGGUCCAUU